rnacentral:sRNA from 1 species
AUUUAGUCCGUCGCCUGUCAAGGAUUGCAACGGCAUCCUUUUUGUAAAAAAGAUAUAGUGGAAAGCCUGGCCGCAG